rnacentral:rRNA from 1 species
GUUUCUGUAGGUGAACCUGCGGAAGGAUCAUUACCGAAAAGCAAAAAAAAGCACACAAUUCGUGUACGAAAACGCAUGCCGUCGGAGAUCGGAGCCAGACUCCACUCCGACCCGGCAAAACAACUGUGACAAUGCACGACGAAAACGUCGGGGUAUCUGUAUCGGUUUAAUGAGCAACGGCCGCCCCAGACGUCUAGUCUUCUCUUAUGUUUUUACACGUACCAAGCAGUAACCAAAAAUUUUAGGCACGGACUUCAGGCCCCGGCUCUGUCGUCAAGCCCUAAAAAAGAAAAACGAGAUGAAAUCACUCUAAGCGGUGGAUCACUCGGCUCGUGUGUCGAUGAAGAGCGCAGCCAGGUGCGUGAAUUAAUGUGAAUUGCAGGACACAUUGAACAUCGAUAUCUUGAACGCACAUUGCGGCCCUGGGUCACUCCCGGAGCCACGCCUGUCUGAGGGUCGGCGAAACAUCUAUCGCAACGUUAUGCACACAUCAAGCGUUGCGCCUUGGACCGUACUAACUCCGUGUCGAUUGCGCGUUGUCGUGGCACGCGGAGCGGUCCGAAAUGUUGACGAUCGGAGUAAAUUCCACACAGACCGAGUAGUUCGGUGUUGAGAUCGCCCGCAACGGGACGACAGAGACGCAGCUCGAAUCAUAUCAAGUGCGCUCGACUGUCUCGCGAAUCGAAGGGCCUUUUCAAGUGAGACUCCGUGAAGUCGUUUUUCAAUCUUUUUUUCCGACCUCAGAUCAGACGAG